rnacentral:rRNA from 1 species
CCCUUAGACGUUCUGGGCCGCACGCGCGCUACACUGACCAGUGCAACAAGCAUCCGUCCUUGGCCGACAGGCCCGGGCAAUCUUUGAACGCUGGUCGUGAUGGGGAUAGACUUUUGCAAUUUUUGGUCUUCAACGAGGAAUUCCUAGUAAACGCAAGUCAUCAACUUGCAUUGAUUACGUCCCUGCCCUUUGUACACACCGCCCGUCGCACCUACCGAUUGGAUGGUCCGGUGAAGCCUCGGGAUUGUGGUUCUUGCCGCUUUAUUGUGGCGUGACCGCGAGAACUUGUCUAAACCUUAUCAUCUAGAGGAAGGUGAAGUCGUAACA